rfam:Alligator mississippiensis ScZkoYb_72, whole genome shotgun sequence.
AUCAUCAUCUCUGCCUUUUUGGCUAAGAUCAAAUGUAGCACUUUUGGCACAAAGGAGAGGGUGUCACAGCUGGCUCCGGCCCUCCCAGUGCCAACUUGGUAUUGCAGUACCUCCAGGGCUGGUGCCAGUUCC